UACACAGUGCAGAGGUUCUCAGCCCUAGCUUCAAGUCCAGUGCCUGACUUUUUCCAGAUCUACAGGGAUUUGUAUUUCUGUAGUAUUUGUGCCUGUCCUCCGAUAGCCUACCCAUCUGUCUCCCCGCGCAGCCCCAGGGAGGCUCCACUACUCCACCUGCCGCUGCUCAGCCGCUUGCUUCUCCCCUAGGUGGGCAGUAACCCUGUGAUCACCAGGUCUUGACUUCAGCCUGAGCUUCCCUCCCUCUGUAGGCUGUUUGCCUUCUUACUCCUGGAAUCAAGGCAUGUGAGGAGCGGCCCGGGACUGCAGCUAAGUCUUAUGACUUGCACCUGACUUCCUCAUACACCUGAAAAUAAGCCAUGACCAUCGACCAUCGUGAGAGCAGGUGCACCAUAAUGCUGGCGGUGUAAACAAGUCCAUAUUUGGUGGAGGCGUGCCCCUGCUGCCCCCAUUGGCUGAAGCUGCAUGCCUGGUGAGGUGGCUUGGCCUGCCUUGAGUGGAUGGGGGCUGAGAGUAUAUAAGCAGACCUCCCUGGGUUCCCAAGGUCCCCUUAGCAGCAUCGAGGUGUUCCUGCAAUAAAGGCUGUUGG
rnacentral:lncRNA from 1 species